CCUACGGGAGACAGCAGUAGGGAAUCUUCCACAAUGGGCGAAAGCCUGAUGGAGCAACGCCGCGUGGGUGAAGAAGGUCUUCGGAUCGUAAAACCCUGUUGUUAGAGAAGAAAGUGCGUGAGAGUAACUGUUCCCGUUUCGACGGUAUCUAACCAGAAAGCGACGGCUAACUACGUGCCAGCAGCCGCGGUAAUACGGAGGGGGCCAGCGUUAGCCGGAUUUGAUGGGGGUAAAGGGAACGCAGGCGGUCUUGUAAGUCUUAUGUGAAAGGCUUCGGCUUAACCGGAGUAGUGCAUUGGAAACUGGGAAACUUGAGUGCAGAAGAGGAGAGUGGAACUCCAUGUGUAGCGGUGAAAUGCGUAGAUAUAUGGAAGAACACCGGUGGCGAAAGCGGCUCUCUGGUCUGUAACUGACGCUGAGGCUCGAAAGCGUGGGGAGCAAACAGGAUUAGAUACCCGAGUAGUC
rnacentral:rRNA from 1 species